GAUGAACGCUGGCGGCGUGCCUAAUACAUGCCAGUCGAGCGAACGGACGAGAAGCUUGCUUCUCUGAUGUUAGCGGCGGACGGGUGAGUAACACGUGGAUAACCUACCUAUAAGACUGGGAUAACCUCGGGAAACCGGAGCUAAUACCGGAUGAUAUUUUGAACCGCAUGGUUCAAAAGUGAAAGACGGUCUUGCUGUCACUUAUAGAUGGAUCCGCGCUGCAUUAGCUAGUUGGUAAGGUAACGGCUUACCAAGGCAACGAUGCAUAGCCGACCUGAGAGGGUGAUCGGCCACACUGGAACUGAGACACGGUCCAGACUCCUACGGGAGGCAGCAGUAGGGAAUCUUCCGCAAUGGGCGAAAGCCUGACGGAGCAACGCCGCGUGAGUGAUGAAGGUCUUCGGAUCGUAAAACUCUGUUAUUAGGGAAGAACAUAUGUGUAAGUAACUGUGCACAUCUUGACGGUACCUAAUCAGAAAGCCACGGCUAACUACGUG
rnacentral:rRNA from 1 species